GGCCGCGUGGCCCAAUGGCAAGGCGUCUGACUACGAUUCAGUCGUCAUCAGGAGACUCUGGGUUCGAGCCCCAGCGUGGUCA
rfam:Rhodosporidium toruloides NP11 unplaced genomic scaffold Scaffold7, whole genome shotgun sequence.